UACGGAGGGUGCAAGCGUUGCUCGGAAUUAUUGGGCGUAAAGGGUAGGUAGGUGGUCUUAUUUGUCUGGGGUGAAAGCCUUGAGCCUUAACUCAAGAAGUGCCCCAGAAACGGGUAAGACUAGAGUCCUAGAGAGGGUCGUGGAAUUCCCGGUGUAGCGGUGAAAUGCGUAGAGAUCGGGAGGAACACCAGAGGCGAAGGCGGCGACCUGGGAAGAUACUGACGCUGAGGUGCGAAAGCGUGGGGAGCAAACAGG
rnacentral:rRNA from 1 species